GUCCGAGCUGUAGGUCUCCAGCAGCUCCACGAUGUGAGGGUGUUUGAGCAUGUGGCAGAUGCUGGCCUCUCGCUUCAGAUCUGGAAAACAGAAAAUGAAAAGGGGGAGUACGGUCAUUUCCUUGUCUUGCUGUUAUUGGCUGCCGCACUAAUCUCUGACUGGGACCUCACAGAUGGCACAGAGCCGCAGUGACGAUCCUCUCGUGUCCUGAUUCUGUUAACCCAACCCAUCUGGCGCUUCGAGUGCACGACGACACCCGUGAAGAUUUAAACGCGGCCG